CUGUCUGCCAUUUUGUUUGACAUGUAUGGAUUGUGAGCUGGCUGUGUGGAAGAAGUAUGGUCAUCUCAAGCUGAAUGUCCCAGUAAACAAAAUUUUGAACAAGAGGGAGGAAAAGUUCAGGAAACAGUGGCAAGGUUAAAGACAUUGGCGGUGAUGUUGAGCUGGUGAGCUGUCAGGUGUCCGGGUAGCAUGUGCAGCUUGGCAAGGUGCUGGGCCUUGGGAAGAUCACUCACAAGUCGAACAACCUGGUCCACAAGAGUCUCCGAUAUCGGAUGAAUCAUCAAGCCGUCCCGGGGGAGCCAGGAAGAUGGCUCUCACCUUUCCAUCCGUCUACAUAAAACAGUUACGAGGACUUCGAUUUCACCUGGGAGGAUGUCAUCCAUCAAAUUUACUUGCUGUGGCCUAAGAGUGCUGAUUCCAUCUGGUGAGAACCUUGCUUAGGUUAGGGAUGUCCUUCAAAUGGAGGACCAUGUUUGACGACAGCCACACCUUCAGCAGGCUGAAGAACCUGCCACACUUACUGAAGAAGCAUCAGCAUUAAGCAAAGGGCAGUACCACCAUCACAUGCCAACCACAUCAAACAGCAUGUGAGAAGAAGAUAAACCAUGGGAAGAUCAGGGAAGCCCCCAGGCCCUGCCCCCAUCCUGCCCUCUCCCCUGUCUUUCCUUUCAACCCGCUUCCUUGUCAGCUACGGUAUCUUGGCUGGGUUUCCUAACUUCCGAUGGCUGAACUUCCGGACAGAUUCACUUUGUAAUGGAUUCUCGACCGUCCCCGUAUUACGGUCGCAAGGGAGAUCCAUUUUUUACUACAUACUUGUGUUGAGAAACAGCGUAAGAGUGAUGACCAACUCCAAACAAGAUUACUUGUACAAUCUAUCCUUUUGCUUGGCAUGCCCAUAUAUAAUCAGGGGGUUUGGAAGACUUCCCCCAACCCACCCACACAAACUCAAGGUACCUCAAAAGAAUGACGAAUGCAAUGUAAUUCCUCUCUUGACAGCGCUGUUAUCAACAGUUUCUGUUUCUUACUUUGAAAUCCUCACAAAAAAAGUAGGAGAUGCCAUUUUGGAGGGUCAUAUUUUUUAAACUUUCAAGAAAGAAUGCCCCUAGGAAGCUUAGGCCUUUGGAGCUCACUACAUGUAGUUCCAAUAAGUUGUAAAUACAUUAAAGUUCACGGUAGCACCAUGUUUUAGUCUCUUACUCAGUUACUGCCAUAGAAAAAUGUUCGCCGUGGUUUUAAGUUCGCCGUGAAGCAACCACCGCAAAAACCGCGAACAUUAAACCACCGUGAAAGUUUCUGCAUUUACAGUAAUCCACAAAGAAUCCCAAUCAAAAUCCUGACUAAGGGCAUGCAAGAGAGAUGCUUUAUAGUACUUCUGUUGAAUAACAGCAUAAGGUUGAUGACCAAGUCCUAACAAAAUUACUUU